AACGUAGGAGACGAACGUUAUCCGGAGUUACUGGGCGUAAAGGGCGUGUAGGCGGUUUGUUAAGUCUGGCGUGAAAGCUCUCGGCUAAACCGGGAGAGGUCGUUGGAUACUGGCGAACUCGAGGAUGGUAGAGGCGUGUGGAAUUCCAGGUGUAGCGGUGAAAUGCGUAGAUAUCUGGAGGAACACCGGUGGCGAAGGCGGCAUCCUGGACCGGUAUUGACGCUGAUGCGCGAAAGCCAGGGGAGCAAACGGG
rnacentral:rRNA from 1 species